rnacentral:rRNA from 1 species
CAGGAUGAACGCUGGCGGCGUGCCUAACACAUUCAAGUCGAACGGUGAAGGGACUUAGGUCCCGGAUCAGUGGCGGACGGGUGAGUAACGCGUGAGCAACCUGCCUCUGACUGGGGGAUAACAGCCGGAAACGGCUGCUAAUACCGCAUAACGUGUGACCUUCGCAUGAAGGACGCACCAAAGAUUUAUCGGUCAGAGAUGGGCUCGCGUCUGAUUAGAUAGUUGGUGAGGUAACGGCUUACCAAGUCUGCGAUCAGUAGCCGGACUGAGAGGUUGAACGGCCACAUUGGAACUGAGAUACGGUCCAGACUCCUACGGGAGGCAGCAGUGGGGAAUAUUGGGCAAUGGGCGCAAAGCCUGACCCAGCGACGUCGCGUGAAGGAAGAAGGCCCUCGGGUUGUAAACUUCAGUCAACAGGGAAGAAUAAAUGACGGUACCUGUGGAGGAAGCCACGGCUAACUACGUGCCAGCCGCCGC